CCUACGGGUGGCAGCAGUGAGGAAUAUUGGGCAAUGGGCGCGAGCCUGAACCAGCCAAGUAGCGUGAAGGAUGACUGCUCUACGGUUUUUAAACUUCUUUUAGCAAGGAAUAAAGUGAGGCAUGUGUGCCUUUUUGUAUGUACUUUAUGAAUUAGGAUCGGCUAACUCCGUGCCUGCAGCCGCGGUAAUACGGAGGAUCCGAGCGUUAUCCGGAUUUAUUGGGUUUAAAGGGAGCGUAGAGGGGUUGUUAAGUCAGUUGUGAAAGUUUGCGGGUCAACCGUGAAAUUGCAAUUGAUACUGGCAGUCUUGAGUACAGUUGAGGUAGGCGGAAUUCGUGGUGUAGCGGUGAAAUGCUUAGAUAUCACGAAGAACUCCGAUUGCGAAGGCAGCUUACUAAUCUGCAACUGACGUUGAUGCUCGAAAGUGUGGGUAUCAAACAGGAUUAGAUACCCUGGUAGUC
rnacentral:rRNA from 1 species